rnacentral:rRNA from 1 species
UACAGAGGUGGCAAGCGUUGUUCGGAAUUACUGGGCGUAAAGGGCGCGUAGGCGGCCUUCUAAGUCAGACGUGAAAUCCCCCGGCUUAACCGGGGAACUGCGUCUGAUACUGGAUGGCUCGAGUUUGGGAGAGGGAUGCGGAAUUCCAGGUGUAGCGGUGAAAUGCGUAGAUAUCUGGAGGAACACCGGUGGCGAAGGCGGCAUCCUGGACCAACACUGACACUGAGGAGCGAAAGCCAGGGGAGCAAACGGG